rnacentral:rRNA from 1 species
UACGUAGGGUGCGAGCGUUAAUCGGAAUUACUGGGCGUAAAGCGUGCGCAGGCGGUUAUUUAAGACAGGUGUGAAAUCCCCGGGCUUAACCUGGGAACUGCAUUUGUGACUGCAUAGCUAGAGUACGGUAGAGGGGGAUGGAAUUCCGCGUGUAGCAGUGAAAUGCGUAGAUAUGCGGAGGAACACCGAUGGCGAAGGCAAUCCCCUGGACCUGUACUGACGCUCAUGCACGAAAGCGUGGGGAGCAAACAGG